CAAAUAUAAGCACUUUUAGAAAUUUGUCACUUUCCCAUGGUCAACCAAACAUGCCAAAAGUAUUUUCCUAGGUAUACUCUUACUAUGAAUCUGCUUUCCAGGAAUCAUAUUCGUAGGAGAAAAAAUACUUUCCGCGAACCAAACGAGCCCAAUGUUAGAGCCAGUUUUAGAGUGAAGGACCUUCUUUGUUAUUAAGCUUACGUGGACCCAGGUUAUUUUGGCAUCGCCACACAGUCAAGCUUACUGUACGAGAUGUGACUUCUCAAAAAAUCGUUGAGUUUUAUUUUUCUUUUUGAGUUCCAACGGUUGAAAUCAAGCAUCUUCAAUUCACACAUGCCUAAAAAUUCAAUGGAUUAAUAAUCAUUCAGGUAUUUUGCACUUGUAUUCGCGGAAAGAUAAGUAGGGGGCACACUUGACGCUCAUUGGACUAAUUAAUUACAGAUUGCGGUAUCUGCUGGACGUCUGAUAUUAAUAGGAUCUGAGGCAAAUCAAAAGCCAUAGGUGUAUACCAUGGUUGUCUGCAUCUCCGAGGCAUGAGCCUAGCAAAUAUUUCAAUCUCUGUGAACUUCUCACUUUAAUAUAUAUAUUUUUUCUCCUCUAUACUUUUUAUUGCCCUCAGAGGAGUAGGCAGACCAUACCCGCUUGUGUGGGAAAUGGGUUUUCUUUUCCUUUCUGGUAGAACGGGUAAAGGGUUGUCAAGGCAUGGAGUGGACCAUAAACAGGUCUCUCAUUAUUUGGGCCCAUCUCUUCUUCUCCUCCCUUAAUUUUUGUAUCUCUCUUCUUGUGUUCUGCAGGUCACCCCUGACAAACCACCCUCUUUCUGUCUCUCUGGUGAAGUCGAUUCUGUGCUCUGGACUGGAGGAUCAAUCAGUAUAGGCACUCACGGAAAAAGAAGAAAAGUAAGAAGUCCAACAAGAAGGGAGUAGUUGGUUGGGCCAUACCAAAUCCCAUCGUUGUCAGCUCGUUGGUUCCGUGCAAAGCUUCGCUUUGUGUUUUGACCAGUUGGUGCGCACGGGUUUCCACGCGAGCGCACGAAGAGUUGGACCGGUCACCGGGGUCCGUGGGAUCUCAAGUUUCCGUUUUCCAGAAGAGAACCCCUUGCAGCAACGGUGGCGCACACCAAGAGAUCGAGAUGGAAUGUAAGCGCCAGGGGGCGUUUGGUAACCCCAACAGCAUCACCACGGUGAUCUAAGAUUUCCGAUGAUCCGAAUGCUGAGGUGAUUUGAUCUCCAGUGAUCUAAGAUCAAUGUGUUUGGUAAGCCAUGGUUCAGUGAUUAAAAAUCUCCGAAUAUCCAUGAGUAACUUGUUUAGUAUGGUAUGGAGAUCCAAGAUCACUGACCACAUAAUACCAUAAAUAUUCUUGAUAUAUCUUUGAUGGAUUUUUUACAUGAAUCAAAAAUUUAAGUCAA